rnacentral:ncRNA from 1 species
ACGCGAGGUUAAGGUGCCGGAAUGCACGCUCAUCCAGACACCACAAAAGGUGUUAGUUUCAUCUAGACAGCCCGACGGUGGCCAUGGAAGUCGGAAUCCGCUAAGGAGUGUGUAACAACUCACGGGCCGAAUGAACUAGCCCUGAAAAUGGAUGGCGCUCAAGCGUGCUACCCAUACCUCGCCGUCGGGGUAGAAACGAAGCCCCGACG